UACGUAGGGUGCAAGCGUUGUCCGGAAUUAUUGGGCGUAAAGAGCUCGUAGGCGGUUUGUCGCGUCUGCUGUGAAAAUCCAGGGCUUAACCCUGGACCUGCAGUGGGUACGGGCAGACUAGAGUGCGGUAGGGGAGAACGGAAUUCCCGGUGUAGCGGUGAAAUGCGCAGAUAUCGGGAGGAGCACCGGUGGCGAAGGCGGUUCUCUGGGCCUGUACUGACGCUGAGGAGCGAAAGCGUGGGGAGCGAACAGG
rnacentral:rRNA from 1 species